rnacentral:tRNA from 1 species
GGGGAAGUGUUGGAAUUGGCAGACAAGCUUGACUUAGGAUCAAGUGCCUCACGGCGUGCGGGUUCGAAUCCCGCCUUCCCCA